GACGAACGCUGGCGGCGUGCCUAAUACAUGCAAGUCGAACGCAGUGGGUACGGGUGAGUAACACGUGGGUAACCUCCCAUCAGAGGGGAUAACACUUGGAAACAGGUGCUAAACUGUUACUGAUGGUUGGACCCGCGGUGCAUUAGCUAGUUGGUGAGGUAACGGCUCACCAAGGCCACGAUGCAUAGCGGACCUGGAAGGGGGAUCGGCCAAACUGGGACUGGGCCACGGCCCAGACUCCUACGGGAGGCAGCAGUAGGGAAUCUUCGGCAAUGGACGAAAGUCUGACGGGGCAACGCCGCGUGAGUGAAGAAGGUUUUCGGAUCGUAAAGCUCUGUUGUUGGAGAAGCGGUAUCUAACCAGAAAGCCACGGCUAACUACGUGCCAGCAGCCGCGGUAAUAC
rnacentral:rRNA from 1 species